CUUCGGGCCUUGUACACACCGCCCGUCACACCACGAAAGUUGUCUGUACCCAAAGUUGCCUUAGCUAACCUGAAAAGGGGCGGGUACCUAAGGUAUGGGCAGUGAUUGGGGUG
rnacentral:rRNA from 1 species